rnacentral:rRNA from 1 species
AUUGAACGCUGGCGGCAUGCUUUACACAUGCAAGUCGAACGGACUUAGGGGCUUGCUCCUGAGUUAGUGGCGAACGGGUGAGUAAUGCAUCGGAACGUACCGUGUAGUGGGGGAUAACGCAGCGAAAGUUGUGCUAAUACCGCAUACGAUCUACGGAUGAAAGCAGGGGAUCGCAAGACCUUGUGCUAUACGAGCGGCCGAUGUCGGAUUAGCUAGUUGGUGAGGUAAAGGCUCACCAAGGCGACGAUCCGUAGCGGGUCUGAGAGGAUGAUCCGCCACACUGGGACUGAGACACGGCCCAGACUCCUACGGGAGGCAGCAGUGGGGAAUUUUGGACAAUGGGCGCAAGCCUGAUCCAGCCAUGCCGCGUGAGUGAAGAAGGCCCUCGGGUUGUAAAGCUCUUUUGUCCGGAAAGAAAAGCAAUCGGUUAAUACCCGGUUGUCCUGACGGUACCGGAAGAAUAAGCACCGGCUAACUUCGUGCCAGCAGCCGCGGU